rnacentral:rRNA from 1 species
AACGAACGCUGGCGGCAUGCCUAACACAUGCAAGUCGAACGAGACCUUCGGGUCUAGUGGCGCACGGGUGCGUAACGCGUGGGAACCUGCCCUUAGGUUCGGAAUAACUCCCCGAAAGGGGUGCUAAUACCGGAUAAUGUCUUCGGACCAAAGAUUUAUCGCCUUUGGAUGGGCCCGCGUUGGAUUAGCUAGUUGGUAGGGUAAAAGCCUACCAAGGCGACGAUCCAUAGCUGGUCUGAGAGGAUGAUCAGCCACACUGGGACUGAGACACGGCCCAGACCCCUCCGGGAGGGAGAAGUGGGGAAAAUUGGAAAAUGGGCGAAAGCCUAAUCCACCAAGCCCGGGGGGGUGAUAAAGGCCUUGGGGUUGAAAAGCUCUUUUACCCGGGAUGAAAAUGACAGUACCGGGAAAAUAAGCCCCGGCUAACCCCGU